rnacentral:rRNA from 1 species
UAGGGUUCGAUUAUGGCUCAGAUUGAACGCUGGCGGUAGGCUUAACACAUGCAAGUCGUGCGAGAAGUAUCUUCGGAUAUGAGUAGAGCGGCGGACGGGUGAGUAACGCGUAGGAAUCUACCUAGUAGAAGGGGAUAGCCCGGGGAAACUCGGAUUAAUACCGUAUACCUCCUUCGGGAGAAAGAAGGCCUCUCUUGAAGCUUUCGCUACUAGAUGAGCCUGCGUAAGAUUAGCUUGUUGGUGAGGUAAUGGCUCACCAAGGCGACGAUCUUUAGCUGGUCUGAGAGGACGAUCAGCCACAUUGGGACUGAAACACGGCCCAAACUCCUACGGGAGGCAGCAGUGGGGAAUAUUGGACAAUGGGCGCAAGCCUGAUCCAGCCAUACCGCGUGUGUGAAGAAGGCCUUCGGGUUGUAAAGCACUUCUCAAGCAGGGAGAAAAAGUUAUAAGUUAAUACCUUAUGACUCUGAUGUUACCUGCAAAUAGCACCGGCUAAUUCCGUGCCAGCCGCCGCGGUAAUUCA